UAUGGCCACAUCACGUUGAAAUACAGGUUCCCGUACGAUCACCGAAGUUAAGCAACGUCGAGCCUAGAUGGGUAACCGCUUGGGAAUACCAGGUGCUGUCAG